AGUGAACGCUGGCGGUAGGCCUAACACAUGCAAGUCGAACGGCAGGACAGUAAGAGCGCGCUCUUAAGGGUGGCGAGUGGCGGACGGGUGAGGCAUACAUAGGAAUCUACUUUUUCGUGGAGGAUAUCGGAGGGAAGGUGAUGAUAAUAGCGCAUACGACCUACGGGUGAAAGCAGGGGAUCUUCGCAGCUUGCGCGUCUGAAUGAGCCGAUGUCGGAUUAGCUAGUUGGCGGGGUAAAGGCCCACCAAGGCGACGAUCCGUAGCUGGUCUGAGAGGAUGAUCGGCCACACUGGAACUGAGACACGGUCCAGACUCCUACGGGAGGCAGCAGUGGGGAAUAUUGGACAAUGGGCGCAAGCCUGAUCCAGCCAUACCGCGUGGGUGAAGAAGGCCUUCGGGUUGUAAAGCCCUUUUGUUGGGGAAGAAAAACAGCAGAUUAAUACCCCGCUGUUCUGACGGUACCCAAAGAAUAAGCCCCGGCUAACUUCGUG
rnacentral:rRNA from 1 species